CCAUACAUAUUAGUUCCUAAAUAUGCUAAAUAGCAUGAAUAAUAAAUAAAUAUUAUAUUACAUAAAUAUCUUUUAAUGUUGAAACAUGUCAUUUUAGAAUCUUUUUGUUCUGCAUCACUUAUAUUUUGGUGCAUAAAAAGAAUUCAGAGGAUAAGAUGAUAUAUAGACUCAUAAGAUCAUUAAACAACUUAUCCUGCCUUCUUCCAUCAGAAAUCAAAUUCAGUACCAGAAGAAAUGCUAAUCUACAUGAAAGCCCUAUCCUUACCUUCAAAAUGAGUAUUAAGGUCCACUUUUUUAGGUGAACAUAUUUUUAGCAAUUUUCAUAAAACGAUGUAAUACUCUGAAACUAGUGAUAUAAAGUACCUUGCAGGCGUAAAUUAAGCUGGGAAGAGAAAUGGUGGGAUUUGUGGUGCCGCCACAUCAAUCCAAAAGCUUGAAAUAAACACCAUUUAGGCAUAAGGUUGGAUAAAGAAAUAUUAAGUACUUUUUUUCAGUUGUCUUCUACUAUUAAGUUAAAUAUCCUAUUUUUUAUGCUCCCCAUAGCUUUGGCAAUCAUCACAAAACCAUGUUCUUGUGAUAAUGCAGCAAACAUACUCUAGAUCAAAAUAGGCUGAAGACUUGGUGGCAAACAAUGAGAAGUUAC
rnacentral:lncRNA from 1 species